rnacentral:rRNA from 1 species
UACGUAGGGUGCAAGCGUUAAUCGGAAUUACUGGGCGUAAAGCGUGCGCAGGCGGUUUUGUAAGUCUGUCGUGAAAGCCCCGGGCUCAACCUGGGAAUUGCGAUGAAGACUGCAAGGCUUGAAUCUGGCAGAGGGGGGUAGAAUUCCACGUGUAGCAGUGAAAUGCGUAGAGAUGUGGAGGAACACCGAUGGCGAAGGCAGACCCCUGGGUCAAGAUUGACGCUCAUGCACGAAAGCGUGGGGAGCAAACAGG